CUGCCAGCCUGUAAAAACGCCCAGGACUAUCUGCAGCCCACGUUGGCAACCAUGAGUGGGAUAACAUGGAGCAGAGGGAGGCGACAUACAACGUGAGGCAGUGAGCUAGUGCUCAGUCCUAGCCCUCUGGCCAAUCAGGAGUCUGCCUUAUUUGUGACAGACCAAGUUUCCUUUGUGGUUCACUCAGGGAACCUCACUGCCCUGCUGUAGUCCAUUUCAGUCUGAACUUUGCCCACCUUUAGUUCUUACUGGGUGUGAGAAUGAGGUCACAGAGCAGGAUAGCCUCCAGGUGUUCAAAUACUGCCUCCGUAAAGACCUGCUUUAUUGUGACAUGGAGGAGGGCCCAGGUUCUUGAAGGCCAUGCCAGGGCAGUGUAAGCUUUGGCAAAUGGUGCCAAAGUGGAAGGGCUUCAAGUACAGCCAUGAAGGUAGGCUGUGGCUGUUGCCAUCCAAGGAACAUACAAGACAAGUAUGGAAAGGCAGCAUCAAUUAUCAUGAGGUGGUACACCAGCCUUCUCUUUUCCAAAUGUCCACUCUUGCAGACCUCUUAUCAAGCCACUAACCAGUGAGAGAUGCAGUUAUACAAUAAGAAGCUUCUGUUACCUGUGUCGGAAUCUGCCACUAAGAAUGACAGACCAAAACAGACACUCCUAAAGGAAAUAAAGGACAUUUUGGAAGUUAAACA
rnacentral:lncRNA from 1 species